UUUAAUACCCGUUGAUUCUGCGGGAGAUUGCUGCUAUUGGGAUCCGACUUAGCCAUGCAAGUCAAGGACUCUUCGGAGGACUGGCAGACCGCUCAGUAACACGUCGAUAAUCUACCCUAAGGUUUGGGACAAGCUCGGGAAACUGAGUCUAAACCCGAAUAAGAAAUAUACUCUGCAAUGACAUAUUUCUCAAAAGCAAUGCCUUAGGAUGAGUUGGCGGCUGAUUAGGCUGUUGGCGAGGUAAUGGCUCACCAAACCUAUGAUCAGUAGGAGCCUUGAGAGAGGUAGCUCCGAGAAGGGCACUGAGAUACUGGCCCUAGCCCUAAGGGGUGCAGCAGGUACGGAACCUUUACAAUGCACGAAAGUGUGAUAAGGGGAUCCCAAGUGCUUUACUUCGGUAAGGCUUUUGUCAAGCGUAAAUAACUUGGCGAAUAAGUGGUGGGAAAGACUGGUGCCAGCCGCCGCGGUAACACCAGCGCCACAGGUGGCAAUCACGAUUAUUGGGUCUAAAGGGUCCGUAGCCGGUUUGUUAAAUUUUUCGUGAAAUUGUUAUGCUCAACUUAACAAUGUGCGAAAAACACUACCAAACUAGAGACCGGGAGGAGACAGAAGUAUUUUGGGGGGAGUGGUAAAAUGCUAUAAUCCCCAGAGGACUACCUAUGGCGAAGGCAUCUGUCUAGAACGGUUCUGACGGUGAGGGACGAAAGCUAGGGGAGCGAUCCGGAUUAGAUACCCGAGUAGUCCUAGCUGUAAACGCUGUGAGUUAUGUGUUGCACUUUCUUCGGGAAAGUGCAGUGCCGAAGUGAAGACAUUAAACUCACCACCUGGGAAGUACGGUCGCAAGAUUGAAACUUAAAGAAAUUGGCGGGGGCUUACUACAAGGGGUGCGGCGUGCGGUUUAAUCGGAUUUUACGCCGGGAAUCUCACCAGGAGCGACGGCAGGAUGAAGGUCAGAUUGAAGGUUUUACCUAACGAGCCGAGAGGAGUUGCAUGGCCGCCGUCAGUUCGUGCCGUAAGGUGUUCUGUUAAGUCAGAUAACGAACAAGAUCUACGUCUACAGUUGCCAUUGUCUCGUAAGAGGAACAAGCACACUGUAGAGACUGCCUUGGAAACAAGGAGGAAGGUGUAGGCUACGGUAGGUCAGUAUGGCCCGAAUCUCCUGGGCUACACGCGCGCAACAAUGGUAAGGACAAUGGGAUACAACUCCGAAAGGAGAAGUUAAUCCUCGAAACCUUAUCCUAGUUUAGAUUGAGGGCUGUAAUUCGCCCUCAUGACACCGGAAUCCCUAGUAAUCAGAAUUCAACACGUUCUGGUGAAUACGUCCAUGGGCCUUGCACACACCGCCCAUCAAACCAACCGAGCAGGAUUUGAGUGAGGUUUAGUUUUUGAUUAAAUCGAAUUUGAGUUCAGUAAGGUGGGUUAAGUUGUCACAAGGUAGCCGUAGGGGAACCUGCGGCUGGAUCACCUCCUAA
rnacentral:rRNA from 1 species